UGCACACCUAAGGGUGCCCGCAUCCAUCCUCCUGGGCCCGGCGCACAGGUCUGUGCCAGCCCCCACGGAGCCCCGCAGCGCGCGCGCACACACACACACACACACACACACACACACACGCUGAUCUCGAAGGAUGCGCUUGGCCAGCUCUCGGGGCCCACUGCCUGCCUCCCCGACGCGGGGGCAGAUGCAUCCCGUUCUCCUGAAGUUAAAAUACAGCGCGAACUCUAUAAUGUUAGAGACGGAGAUGACUGUCAAUUAUCCAAGAAAAAAAAACAUUUUUAAAACAUAUAUAUAUUAUUUUUUAAUACUCAUUAAUGGGCUGCUGGGGGUUGUUUGUUUAUCCCCUAAAGCUGCCCCCCCCUUGUUCAGUGUUCAUCUUAUACCACAGUACAGAACGGUCCCCUGCGGCUUCCCGCUAAUGGAUGACCCGAGAGUGACACCGCCACAACCUGCGAGAAAAGGAGAGCCCCUUCCCCGCCCCGAGGGCCGAAUGUUGUGCUCUUCAGCUCUACUUCUCAAAGCAAGAAAAAGAACUUCUCAAACAAAUCUGUGAGAAACAGCAGAAAUUGUGCUCUUCCCACAACGUGAGGCCCUCAAAUAGAGAACAGUGGUCUUCACCUGGGAAGCAUCCUGGGAGCACCUGGGAACUCAAUGGUGGCAACAGAUGGAGAUUCUGGAAGGGGAAAUCGAGGUUUGAAACUUUUGGACCUCUCUUGACUGCAACGUGAGUUCCUUUUGACACUGAUGUGGGAGGAAGGGAAUUUAGAUUGCUAGCCUCUCAACCUAUCCCUCAUUACCAGAAUUAGAAAAAUUUCCCAAUUUUUGGUGCUGAGAUUCCCAGAAACUCUUAAAAGGUUUCUUUCAGUGAGAGAGUCCUAAAAUAACAGCCUGUUUUUCAGAUUCCAAGUGGAGAGUAUUUCUAACAUGCAUAGGUAGCUUUGACAAUGUCCUCUGUGAAAAACUAAGUUAAUGGUUGUUUUUAUGGUUAUUUCUUAUUGAAAUUUAUAUUAAAAUUUGUCUAAAAGGUUUUUGUUUUUUCACUCAGUUAUGCUUUAAUAUAUCGCUUUUUAUUUAACUUUUUGUGGAAUUAAAUAUAUGAUAUUCAUCUCUGAAAGUUAAAAAAAGGAGGUAAAUAUCACCCUAGAGCACAUGAUUUAUUUAUUUUAAAAUUUUUAUUGAUCUUUGUCAUGAUUCUUUUUAAUAGCACACCUGAAUUAAUCUUGGCUGGGAAAAUUCAUUUACAAUUUUAUAAUAAACGCCCCAUUAAAAAAGUGCUUUUUUUUUUUUUUUCCCUCAC
rnacentral:lncRNA from 1 species